CAGGACAGAAAUUGUUUCUUGAUAGUGAAGUAAAUCUGAAAGUCUUUGCUGUGUAAGAAGUAAUUUUCAAGGUGAUCUUCCUUAUAAAGAUGAGGUCUAAAAUUGUUUUUUAUUGUAAGUACUGCCAGUACUUCUCAAAGAGUCAUUCUCAAAUGGGAUGGAGAUGGUAAUAACAUUGUCUGUCACAACAAUCACUGUUCUUUGCUGUUUAUGUGCAAUGGGUCUGGAAAGAGUAUUUUUUAAUUUUGAAGUAAGAUUUUCUGUUUUGAGAGAUACCAAUCACAAUGGGAUUUAAAACCACAUGGUAAUGUGAACUCUUAGAGUCUCAAAAGCUCCGUACAGAGGAAAUUGAACAUGGUUUGACUGUUACCUUCUCUAAUUGAAAUUGCAUCUGGUCUGCUGAACAUAGUGCUUAAUGAAAGGAACCAAAUCAAAUCUUCGGAAGUUCUCUGGGGACUUGUUCAGCUUUCUGGCACGCUGGUGCAUUGUGAUUAGGUUAUCUUGGAAGGACAGAAUCUCCCAUGCUUCUUGGACAAGCUACUUCAUCACAAUUACAAACACUUUCAUGGAAGUUUGAGUUCUGUGUUAGCGUUUCUAAGUACUUGUUCAUCAUAAUUAGCUACUUUUAUGGAAUUGUAUCCAUUAAAAACCCAGCAGCUAAGAAUAUGAGUGGAAACUUAGAUAUGCCUUGAUGGAAGGGAGGCUGUUAGAAAUUAGAGCAGUGACAGCUUCAGUCACUCCCUCACACUGGUGCAGGCUCAUGGGGUGAUUUACAUACCUCUCUUAGGCAGCAAUGGCUGCAAAUAAGAUUAUAUUUAUAACAUUUGAAUCUGGGAAUUGCAGGGUAAAAUCAGUGGAGUGUAAAAGCAUUAGAGACAUUUGUUUUCAAUGAUUGACACAAUAAUCCUGUUAGCAGUGUCUAGGGCAGGCUCAUUCCAAGGUGGUCUAUGUGUUACUACAUUGCCCUGUGCCACAGACAAGUUCCUGCUCAGGUUGGUGUUAACAGUCCUUUCUACACAGAGAAUUAAAAAAAAAUACUGGAACUAUUUAAGCUAAUAUCCAGCACCUCAUAUUCCACGUCUUGUCAGAUUAGGCUUCUUGUGAAGAAAAAAAUUAUGAAAACUACUAAAAUUGGCAUGGUUUAUACAUGGUUUCAUCUGUAUAGGAAAGACAAUCUUAGUUAAAGGAAUGCAGGCCACAGGGACUGACCUGCUCAUAAACUCUUGUGUGUUUGAGUUUCUAAAGCACAGCUUGUACCUUAUGCCAGAGCAUAUAAAUGAAGACAAAUUAGGGUGUGCAUUUUUCUUUGCACUCUCUCCUAACUUAGUGUAUUUGGCACUUUCAGGUAAGUCUAGGGCCUUACCACUGUAGGUGGUGUAUCAAAAAAUUGGUGGAGAUGGUGGAGAGAAGGGUCCUGGGCUUCAAAACAUUGUGGUUUUGAAUCCAUGAAAUAAUAGUAUUUGUAUUUAAGACUGCGUAACUGCACAAAGAUACAAAGUAUAUUUCACCCCUGCCAGUAGAGGAUGCUUACAUGAGAAGAAAGUUUGCUGAUCUUGAGAAACUCCUUUCUGAAGGCAGGAGAGAUCACUUCUUGUGUCAGGGUUCCACAAUUUAUGAGGAUGACCUUCCUGCCACUCUGCCUCCAAACCUGCUUUCUGAGACAAAGAUGUGCUUUACUUCACUGAGGUAAUAUCAUUCUCCAGAGUUAUUCUAGUUUUCACCUAAAGGCCACUUGAGUGUCUAUUUGGGUUCUUAAAAAAAAAAAAAAAAAAAAAAAAAGAAGCCUAAUUCUUUUUUGCAGCUCAGAGUAGCAGGUGAGGUGAGAUGUGGUGAAUGUUUCCUGCAGCAGGAGGAUGAAGUUCAGCGUGGAGCCCCAGAGGCAGCGCAGGUGAGGUGUCCACGGCCCCUCGUGGUGACUCUGCCACCGGUGGGGGCUGCGGUUGUGCUGUGGAGACUUUGCCUCAAUUGGUUGGAGAAAUUACCAAAAACCUGAUUUUCAUCCAAGAGAAGUCUAUAGAGCAUUUCUCAGAGUGGAAGCAAAUGGAGGUCAGGAUUUGCAGGUUUGUAGCCCAUGGCUGUUUCUCUAUUUAGCUUGGUCACCUUUUCCACUGGAUAUUGCCAUUUGCAGUGUCUGUGGUACCUUCUCUCCCUGCUCCCAGCAGCCUCUUUGGGUCUUGCCAAAGCACACCCAUAAUACUGGAGGAGAGUUUGACUCCAUUCAUGCUUCAGCUGGCCAAUCCACACUUCACAACUUCACAUAAAUUGUAGUUUGUGUUAACUGUGCCAGCAAAUCUUGGGCCAAAAUUCUGGUUUUUGGUCUCUAGCAGGUUAUAAAUUAAAGUUCUGUAUUGCAAACAAAGUAAAUGUCUGCAGCUUGACAAGAGGUUAGGCAGGGCUUAAAAUCUGGUUUGUUUCUCUGGAGGCACAGUAAUCCUUCAGGAACUUUGCAGACUUAAACUGUGUUGCUUCUGAGUAUCCCUUUGGGAAAAUGCCAAAUGCCUUUUUUUAAUGUUAGGAAUUUUUUGUCUGAUUCAUAGGGUGCUGAUGCUGUGUGUGAUCCUGUGGUGGAGAGGUGCUUGGUGUCCUCAGUCCUGCUGCAGGCAGGGCUGUCUUUGCUAACUCUAGUGUGUUUCCCAACACAGUAACAGGUGAGAGUAAGGCAGACACACAAGUAGGUGCAGUAAUCUCAGUGUAGAUUACAUGAGCAAAAUAUAGAUUAUUAUUUUUUACAUCUGAAGAACAAAUAUGAGUUAUUCCUGGUGUAGGGUUUUAUUGCUUUGAAGAUGCUACAGCCAAUGCUUUUGAAAACCCUUUUUGAAAAACUGUUCAGUAGGAGUUACAGGUCUGCUUAAAUAUUCCUCCAAGAAGCUUUCUUUUUGUCCUCCAGUGCUCAUCUCUGACUACAUAAAAUCUGUUUGUAUUUUAUUCUGUUAACCUCCAACCAAGUCAAGGCAAAGCCAGUUGUUUCUGCCCUGACAGGAAAAACUGCCACUCUUCCAGAAGCUGUGUGACGGGCUGAGUAGAGAUUUCAGGCACCAAGUUGCAUAGAGAGAAAGUGAAAUACCUUCUGUCAAAAACCAGUGUGUUUACUCAGUUAAUGACUCAGAAAACAUCCUUCUUGUGUGCCUUGAUGAGGGUGUUUGGGAAAAUAAGACUAUAUUUACGUAAUUUUUUUGGAUUUAAUUUAUUUUAUUAGAGCUAUCUCUGAUUUCCUUUUCAAGGUGGGCCAUCUAUUAAUUCUUCUGGGACUGAUGUGUUUGCAGUAGAACAGUAUUGAACCACAAUUUUUGUUUUUUCAGGUAUAGUUAAAAGGCAUUUUCUCAAAACAAUUUGAAAACAAAUGGGAAGUAAGAUUGACUAUUUUGCUGUUUAUCCAGUUGCAUGCAACAUAAAUAUCAGAAUAAAUUAGCCUAAUUGAGUCAGUUUGUCCUUAUGUUUCUGGACAAUGAAGCUUUUCCCUUCUCUUCCUGAAGCAUUUACUGGAAGUGUGAAGAAAAUUCUAAUUUUCCAGUUAGAAAGAGGGAGGAUUUGCCAGCAAACUGUGACCAUUUAGAAACACUCCACAGAUGUUGAUAUGCAGCUGCUGUUUGUGGACAACUCCCUUUGCCUUCUCAAUCUGAAAGUGGUCUGGAGAAGCCUUUUCACUGCUUGACUGGACCUCUUGCUCUCUUCCCUCACUGGACUGCCAACUGAUUUGCCCAAGGCUGAUCUGCCCAAGAUUCAGGUGCAGAGCCACAGUAUGUGGAAGAACAGGCGUAAUCUGAGGCCCCAAGAGCUGAGAAGAAAGGUGAAUAUAAUGAGUACUUAAUGAAGAAGUAGAUUGUUAGGAGAGUUGUGUUACACCACGUUUGUAGAUGCAAUCCCAAGUGAAAUUCUGAUGAUACUCAGAGGUCUGCUCUUUUAAAGCACUUCUGCCUGUGGACACAUUGAGCAGAGGCACUGCUGGUGUCAGAAGAUCUUCAACCUUAUAAGUCUUCUCAGCCUCAACUCGGAAAUCAACUUGCAUUUUUGGCCUUACCAGUGUGACAGAGUCUGGCUGCCAAAAGUCAACCUGAAAGAAGAGCAAAUGAAGACAUAAACAAAUAAAUACAUACAUGUGGUUGUGAUUUUUUAGAUUGGUAUAUGUGUGCUGGUGAGGUUAUGAUUAAUAUACUGAAUUUCAUGCCUAUCCCAUUACACUGAUUCAGCAUUGCUUCCCACAAGUAGCAACCUAAAUUUUAACUGGAAAUUGAUUAAGAUUUUCUAAAGGCCUUGCAUUUUAUAUGGCAGAAUUCUGGAAAUGACAGCAACAAUUCCAUAAAUUGUCUACAGCCUCUG